rnacentral:rRNA from 1 species
GAGGAAUUUUGGACAAUGGGGGCAACCCUGAUCCAGCAAUGCCGCGUGUCUGAAGAAGGCCUUCGGGUUGUAAAGGACUUUUGUUGGGGAGCAACGAGCACUUGUAAAUAAUGAGUGCUUAGUGAGAGUACCCAAAGAAUAAGCACCGGCUAACUACGUGCCAGCAGCCGCGGUAAUACGUAGGGUGCGAGCGUUAAUCGGAAUUAUUGGGCGUAAAGGGUGCGCAGGCGGUUCAUCAAGCUUGAUGUGAAAUCCCCGAGCUUAACUUGGGAAGUGCAUUGAGGACUGAGGAACUUGAGUCUGUGAGAGGGGGGUGGAAUUCCACGUGUAGCAGUGAAAUGCGUAGAGAUGUGGAGGAACACCAAUGGCGAAGGCAGCCCCCUGGGAUAAGACUGACGCUCAGGCACGAAAGCGUGGGUAGCAAAC